CCUUCAGUGCUGGGCAGGGAAAGCAGACUGGAUCAUGCUCAAGCCCCUGAGUGCAGCCCCAUCUGUUUUCCCUAUGCAAGUGGAUGGAACUGAGUGCCCUGGGGCUGCGUUGAAGGGCCGGGGUCAGGAAGGGGCUCUGUCUGGCCGGGGCGUCAGUAGUUCCAGAGUGUAGUCUCCCUGCUCACAGAGUCUCUGCCCAUGUCCCCAGCAGAGAAGCAUAACUGCUGGUUGGUGGCUGCUGCAGCUGCAGCCUGGGGGAGCGAGAUGGAUAGGGAGCCGGGUUCUGCCAGCCAAGACCACCAUCUGUGCUACAAAAACCAGCAAGAAACACCCCUGGUGGAUGCAGCCUUUGGUUCAGGCCUCAGGCCCUGCACCAGGCCCCAUGCUUCAAGCUUUUUCUCUCUCUACUAUAUUUGGAUGUGGAGGAUGUGGAUGAGCGGCACAGGUAUAGGGAGAAAGGUUGUGGCUGUGGAUGAGGUGUGGGUUGCAAAUGAGAACUGGUGGCUGGCAAGCCUUCCAUUUGUUGUUUGUGAAAAAUCUGUAUUUUACUAGCUGAUGUCGAGGCAAAUGAAUGUGGUGCUCUCAAAGACAUGCAGCAUGGAGUUUUGAAGCUGACCACUGUGGGAUAAGAAACCGGUGGAUUCUGGCCAUUUCCUGGAUCACAAUGUGACGUUGUACUCCAUAUUUUUAUAAAAAUAUAUUUAUAAGGGUGAAUAUAACUGGAAUAUGCUUUAUGCAAAAGAUUUCUUGUAAGGUAUAGUUACAAAGCUUAUAAUCUACUGAGUGUGAUCAUCCUAUUUGUAUGAAUGUAUCUUUCUUGUAUCUGAAACUAGAAAUAUGACAUAUAACUCUGAGGUCCCAUUGUAAUUAUGCAAAGUGUGGGCUAUUAAUGGUGGUUUGGAAUCUUGAUGGUUCCCAUUAUCCAGGGCAAUUGGUUGUAAAUGGCUCUGUUUACCUGUAAGACUUCUUGUAUACAUGUGUGCCAGCGAGUGGGUAAUGAAGUCUCCCAGGACAUGUGAUCAUGUCACCUGAACUGGAAUCCAGCUUUAACCUGGUGCUUUUCCAUUGAGAAGGAGGAGUGGGAACCCACAGAGAGACAAGGGAUUCCUGCCUUUUUCCAAAGCCAUUAAAGGGGGUAGAACAGAACAAAGAAGGUCCCAGUCAUGUGGAAUCCCCUGCUUUUCAUCUAAGGUGCCUGCUGGAACUGACAAGGUCUGUUUCAUGGGAAAGGAUUGGGCCCAAAAUAGGAAGGCGUCUAGUGAAUGAAGCUAAUUGGAACAUCUCUGAGGGUGAGAUUUACCUGCAUUCAGUUUCUUAAUGUAUUAGGCUUAGACUUGCACAUUUUGUUUUAUUUUGCUUGGUAACUUACUUUGUUCUGUCUGUUAUUAUUGGAACCACCUUAAUCCUACUUUUUAUACUUAAUAAAAUCACUUUUGUUUAUUAAUUAA